UUCAUUUGUCUUGAACCUCAACACCACACUAAUCUGAAACAUGCUGGAAUUAUUCUUCUUUGAAAUAGUUUCGAGCCCAUUAGCUGUAGUUAUGGAGCAUGGAGCAGUGCUACUUACGUUACAACACAGGGAUCCAGAGCUGGAAAUGAGGAUCAUUGUCUCAAACCAACAGAGAGAGAUUUGAGAGUCAGCAAUUAAAUGCUAGGGAAGGAAGAGAGUCUGAUAAGAGUCUACAUAAAAAGAAGAGCAAUACUUUCUAAUAAGAAGUAGGAAUUUCAGAGAAAAAAGAACUGAGUAAACCUGAGGACCUGUGAUGAGAGGAUUGGACUUGGAUUCAGAAGACCUACAUUUUCUUCUCAGCUUUGCCACUGA